AACGCUAGCUACAGGCUUAACACAUGCAAGUCGAGGGGCAGCAUAAAAGUAGCAAUACUUUGGUGGCGACCGGCGCACGGGUGAGUAACGCGUAUGCAACCUACCUAUCAGAGGGGAAUAACCCGGCGAAAGUCGGACUAAUACCGCAUAAAACAGGGGCACCGCAUGGUGAUAUUUGUUAAAGAAAUUCGCUGAUAGAUGGGCAUGCGUUCCAUUAGGUAGUUGGUGAGGUAACGGCUCACCAAGCCGACGAUGGAUAGGGGAACUGAGAGGUUGGUCCCCCACACUGGUACUGAGACACGGACCAGACUCCUACGGGAGGCAGCAGUGAGGAAUAUUGGUCAAUGGGCGGGAGCCUGAACCAGCCAAGUCGCGUGAAGGAAGAAGGAUCUAUGGUUCGUAAACUUCUUUUGCAGGGGAAUAAAGUGCAGGACGUGUCCUGUUUUGUAUGUACCCUGAGAAUAAGGAUCGGCUAACUCCGUGCCAGCAGCCGCGGUAAUACGGAGGAUCCGAGCGUUAUCCGGAUUUAUUGGGUUUAAAGGGUGCGUAGGUGGUUUGAUAAGCCAGCGGUGAAAGUUUGCAGCUUAACUGUAAAAAUGCCGUUGAAACUGUCGGACUUGAGUGUAAAUGAGGUAGGCGGAAUGCGUGGUGUAGCGGUGAAAUGCAUAGAUAUCACGAAGAACUCCGAUUG
rnacentral:rRNA from 1 species